CGUCAGUGUGACAGCAUCGGCUACUAGAUGACAGGCUCCUCGACUGCUGGCCGCUCCAAGUGUAUUGAACAAUCGUAGGCAAAAAGUAAAUCCUCUGCUAAAUUAAGUGUUUGGCAACGGGACCUGCGACCAACCCGUUCUUCAUGAUGCGUGGACGAGUGCGGCAAUAUUUGAUUGUUUGUAAACACUUGAAAGAUGCUGAACAUAAGUGAAGCUGCUUUUGUGCCUGAAGCCCACUAAAAAGCUACUGAGCAGUGAUUAUUAUCCGGCGUUGGUACAAACUGCAAUCGCGAACAACUCACUCACUCGCAAUGAAGGAAGCUCUGAAACAUCGAUAUCGGAGCGUAAAGUUAAGAAAGAGGACAUAGCUGCCCCAAUUGUAUCAUCUCAUCCACGCUUAAACACCAUCGGGAAGAUCCGAGCUAUUCAAUCAUCCGAGGCGUGUGCCAAAUGCCCUGAGCUUGCCAAGCUCGGGGAUGUGCCUGCGACCUUCUUCACGCGUUGAAUUGACUCCAUCUUUGCUUCAAUUGCAAUCUACGCCGUACCCAAUACGGAAGGUGCAUAAAAGGUAAUCACUUCAGCUGCACUUUGCACACUUCUGGAUCACUUCGCCUGUUGCAAAGUAGGUCGUUGGCCUUAUUCUUACUUCAAGACGCAAAAAGACUGUUCUAUUUCAUCAGACAGAGCCUGUUUAGCGAAGAACUUCUAGAAUAACAAAC